CUUCGGGGUUCCUGGGUGUCACGCAGAUCUCAGUGGGACCUCCAAAUGAAAGAACUCAGUGGGGAAACCCCCACUCAGCUCCCAAUUCGGCGUGUACCCAAGAAUCACGAAUAGAACA
rnacentral:pre_miRNA from 7 species